rnacentral:rRNA from 1 species
UACGGGGGGGGCAAGCGUUGUUCGGAAUUACUGGGCGUAAAGCGUGCGCAGGCGGUUUUGUAAGCCAGAUGUGAAAUCCCCGGGCUUAACCUGGGAAUGGCAUUUGGGACUGCAAGGCUGGAGUGUGGCAGAGGAGACUGGAAUUCCCGGUGUAGCAGUGAAAUGCGUAGAGAUCAGGAAGAACACCGGUGGCGAAAGCGCUCUGCUAGGCCGCAACUGACACUGAGGGACGAAAGCUAGGGGAGCGAAUGGG